rnacentral:rRNA from 1 species
UACGUAGGGCGCAAGCGUUGUCCGGAAUUAUUGGGCGUAAAGAGCUCGUAGGUGGUGUGUCGCGUCUGCCGUGAAAGCCCGGGGCUUAACUCCGGGUCUGCGGUGGAUACGGGCAGACUAGAGGCAGGUAGGGGAGAACGGAAUUCCCGGUGUAGCGGUGAAAUGCGCAGAUAUCGGGAGGAACACCGGUGGCGAAGGCGGUUCUCUGGGCCUGUACUGACGCUGAGACACGAAAGCCAGGGGAGCGAACGGG